GAGUGAAACUCAAAGGAAUUGACGGGGACCCGCACAAGUAGCGGAGCAUGUGGUUUAAUUCUAAGCAACGCGAAGAACCUUACCUAAGCUUGACAUCCCAAUGACAUCUCCUUAAUCGGAGAGUUCCCUUCGGGGACAUUGGUGACAGGUGGUGCAUGGUUGUCGUCAGCUCGUGUCGUGAGAUGUUGGGUUAAGUCCCGCAACGAGCGCAACCCUUAUCUUUAGUUGCCAGCAUUAAGUUGGGCACUCUAGAGAGACUGCCAGGGAUAACCUGGAGGAAGGUGGGGAUGACGUCAAAUCAUCAUGCCCCUUAUGCUUAGGGCUACACACGUGCUACAAUGGGUAGUACAGAGGGUUGCCAAGCCGUAAGGUGGAGCUAAUCCCUUAAAGCUACUCUCAGUUCGGAUUGUAGGCUGAAACUCGCCUACAUGAAGCUGGAGUUACUAGUAAUCGCAGAUCAGAAUGCUGCGG
rnacentral:rRNA from 1 species